UACGGAAGGGGCAAGCGUUGUUCGGAAUCAUUGGGCGUAAAGGGCGCGUAGGUGGUUCUGUAUGUCUACCGUGAAAGCGUACGGCUCAACCGUAUUUUGCCGGUGGAAACUGCAGGACUUGAGGCUGGGAGGGGCUGGUGGAAUUCCCAGUGUAGCGGUGAAAUGCGUAGAUAUUGGGAGGAACACCAGUGGCGAAGGCGGCUCACUGGACCGGAACUGACGCUGAGGCGCGAAAGCGUGGGGAGCAAACAGG
rnacentral:rRNA from 1 species